GCAUUAAUGGGGUAGUGGUAACCUGGGUCGUUGCCACAUAGGCAUCCUUUCGACCCGCCGGGGGUUCGAUUCCCCCUUAAUGCA